AUGGUAAAACGAGGGCUUAGCUGUCUCCUUUUUCAUGUCAAUGAAAUUGAUCUUCUCGUGCAAAAGCGGGAGUUAUAUCAUAAGACGAGAAGACCCUGUGAAGCUUUAGAUAAUGGGGCAGACCUGGCCAAUAAACCUUAAUAAGGGGUUGAGCUGUAUAAGUUCUGUCUUAAUGUCUUUGGUUGGGGCGACCACGGAGAGUCACGUAACCUCCGUGUGGACUGGGUGCAAGAGUGUUUUGUUCCUAAAGCCAAGAGCUGUUGCUCUAAUAAACAGAAUUUCUGACCUCCUAUGAUCCGGCAAUGCUGAUCAACGGACCGAGUUACUCCAGGGAUAACAGCGCCAUCCUCUUUCAGAGCCCUUAUCGACAAGGGGGUUUACGACCUCGAUGUUGGAUCAGGACAUCCUAAUGGUGUAGCCGCUAUUAAGGGUUCGUUUGUUCAACGAUUAAUAGUCCUACGUGAUCU
rnacentral:rRNA from 1 species